ACAGGCAUACGCCACCGCACCUGGCCCAAAUUAUUAAUUGUACGUAUUCUCAUUGUUCUGCUUCUUCCAAGAAAACUGAAGUCACGGUAUUCUGAAGACUAGAGAUGAUUCAACAGGCUGUGAAUCUAUUCCAUUUGGAAUCCUACUGGGCCUGAUCUGUUUUCCAUUGCCAAGGCACUGCUGUUUAAGCUAUACCAUAUGAAGCACCCUCCCUAAAGGCUCAGGGGCCAUAGUGAAAGAGGACACAUGGGAUUGUAAGAGCCAGAUUAUGGGGGUGGAGGGUAAAGGCUGAAGCAAGUCCAUCUUGGAUGCUAACUCACUAUGUUAGCUUCUGAUUAACCCCAGUUCCAGGAAGGCUGCUGAAAUUUCCAGUUUAUGUGUUGUUCCUUGUGUAAGAGCAUGGACUUACUGCAAAUCCUGCCCUUAGGGCAAAUUCCUACCUAUUCCUGCGGAAGCAUGUGUAUCAUUCCCCUAUGGUUUAUAACCCCUGAGUCUGGGGGUAAUGGCACGGGGACCCACCAGCUUGUCUGCCGCCAUCUGGGUUUUUUGAGAUGAAGUCUCGUUCUUGUCCCCCAGGCUGGAGUGCAAUGGCAUGAUCUCAGCUCACUGCAACCUCUGCCUCCCGGGUUCAAGCAAUUCUCCUGUCUCAGCCUCCUGAGUAGCUGGAUUACAGAGAAACACAGAGGAGAGACCCAGAGAGAAGGAGAAGGCCGCAUGAAGAUGGAGCAGAGACUGGAGUUAUUCAGCCAAGUCAAGGAAUGCCUGGAGCACCAGAAGCCGGAAGAGGCAAGGAAGGAUCCUCCCUUAGAGCAUUUGGAAGAGUGUGGCCCUGCCAACACCUUGACUUCAAACUUCUGGCCUCCAUAACUAUGAAAUAAAUUCUUGUUGUUUUAAGCCA
rnacentral:lncRNA from 1 species